rnacentral:lncRNA from 1 species
UGUCAGGCUUUAGAGAGGAGGUAAAGAUAAAAUUCAGACAUCUGGUGUGGUGUCAGGCCCCAGGGGAGGAGGAAGAGGGAGUACGGCGCAGUGAGUGCUGCCUGGGGACCAAAAGAAAUGAAAACAACCAAAGGAGGGAGUGCAAAGACUCUACUCUCCUACCUGGCCCACCAUCCUGAGGUUUCCUUAGGACCUCCUGCUGCAAGACCCUUUGCCACCCCAGGACCAUCAGCCGUUGUUGUAAAAACCAGACCUGCCUCUGCCAGGCUUGGGACUGCAGAUGGGACCUUGGAACCAGAGCUAAGGGGAGAGACAGCCUGAGACCCAUGACCUCCUGCACACAGGAAGAGGUGGCUCCUGACUGGUAUCACAUCUAAGAAAGUGAAAGUGAAAGUCACUCAGUCGUGUCGAACUCUUUGUGGCCUCAUGGAAUUCUCCAAGCCAGAAUACUGAAGUGGGUAGCUGUUCCCUUCUCCAGAGGAUCUUCCCAACCCAGGGAUUGAACCCAGGUCUCCCACAUUGCAGGCGGAUUCUUCACUGCUGAGCCACCAGGGAAGUCCCAUAUCUAAGAAACUGUAUCCUAAUUCAAGGUUAAGUGAGUCCCCAUCCAGGGGCUUUUUCCUCCAGGGCCCACCACACAAAAAUGAAAAAAAAAAUGCAGUUGCUCAGUCGUGUCCGACUCUUUGCGACCCCAUGGACUGUAGUCUACCAGGCUCCUCCAUUCAUGGGAUUUUCCAGGCAAGAAUACUGGAGUGGGUUGCCAUUUCCUUCUCCUGUAGUAAGUUUUAAAAAAAUUAAAAAACCUUGUCUCCAGCUUUAUUUGUAUACAAUUGACAUAUAAUUUUGUGUAAGUUUAAGGUGUUCAGUGUGAUGACUUGAUACACAUAUACAUUGCAAAAUGAUGACCAGAAUAAGCUUAGUUAACACCUCCGUCACCUCACACCAUUACAAUUGUGUGUGUGUAUGUGUGUGUAAAAACAUUUGAGGUGUAAUCUUUCAGCAACUUUCAAUUACACAAUACGGUACUGCUAUCUGUAGUCACAAGGCUGGGCAUUAGAUCCCCAGAACGUGUUCACCUUAUAACUGAAGGUUUGCUCUUUGACCCGUGU